GACGUAGGGCGCGAGCGUUGUCCGGAUUUAUUGGGCGUAAAGGGCUCGUAGGCGGUCUGUCACGUCGGGAGUGAAAACUCGGGGGCUUAACCCCGAGCCUGCUUCCGAUACGGGCAGACUAGAGGUAUGCAGGGGGAGAAUGGAAUUCCUGGUGUAGCGGUGAAAUGCGCAGAUAUCAGGAGGAACACCGGUGGCGAAGGCGGUUCUCUGGGCAUUACCUGACGCUGAGGAGCGAAAGUGUGGGGGAGCGAACAGG
rnacentral:rRNA from 1 species